GACCACUGUGUAAAACGAAAGAGGAAGAACAGAUAUUCUGAAAUAUUUACAUGUUUUUUUUUUUUUUCUCUGCAGAUUCCUUUAAGUGAAGCAACCAUAGCUUGGAUUUAAUUGUGUAACCUUGAUACUUAGUGCCAAGCCCUUCAGAUCGCUACUAGAUUUGGCAAGGUUAAAAGAAAUAAGACGUGAUUUGAAGAGAAAGCAGUGUCCAGACCUUAGACGAAAUACCUCAUCCAUCUUUACGUAAUACAACACUUAAAUGAUGAGAGAGAGAAGAAUUCUGUGUGUGGACAAGUACUAGAUAUAGAUCAAUAACAAUCCAAGAUUAAAUGGCUAUCCUGUAGUUUACCAGGCACAAAGACUUGCAAUCUAAUGUUCAAAACCAUUAUCUUAUUUUAAAUGCCAUUCUUUGAAUUGUGUGAGAA
rnacentral:lncRNA from 1 species